GACGAACGCUGGCGGCGUGCCUAAUACAUGCAAGUAGAACGCUGAAGGAGGAGCUUGCUCUUCUGGAUGAGUUGCGAACGGGUGAGUAACGCGUAGGUAACCUGCCUGGUAGCGGGGGAUAACUAUUGGAAACGAUAGCUAAUACCGCAUAAUAGUAGCUGUUGCAUGAUCUUUACUGAAAAGGUGCAGUUGCACCACUACCAGAUGGACCUGCGUUGUCUUAGCUAGUUGGUGGGGUAACGGCGCACCAAGGCGACGAUACAUGGCCGACCUGCGUGGGGGGUCGGCCACACUGGGACUGAGACACGGCCCAGACUCCUACGGGAGGCAGCAGUAGGGAAUCUUCGUCGAUCGACGAAAGUCUGACCGAGCAACGCCGCGUGAGUGAAGGAGGUUUUCGGAUCGUUAAGCACUGUUGUAAGAGAGGAACGAGUGUGAGAGUGGAAUGUUCACACUGUGACGGUAUCUGACCAGAAAGCGACGGCUAACUACGUG
rnacentral:rRNA from 1 species